rnacentral:rRNA from 1 species
CGGUCUCGAUUUAUCGGGAUAGUGGCGAACGGGUGAGUAACGCGUAAGUAACCUGCCCUCAAGUAGGGGAUAACUUUGAGAAAUUAGAGCUAAUACCGUAUAUGGUGGUAGGGGUAAUGCUCUAUCACUAAAGCCUUAGGGCGCUUGGGGAGGGGCUUGCGUCCGAUUAGCUAGUUGGUAGGGUAACGGCUUACCAAGGCGAUGAUCGGUAGCUGGUUUGAGAGGACGGCCAGCCACAUUGGGACUGAGACACGGCCCAGACUUCUAUGGGAGGCAGCAGCAAGGAAUAUUGUGCAAUGGGCGAAAGCCUGACACAGCGACACCGCGUGGGGGAUGAAGGCCUUCGGGUCGUAAACCCCUUUUCUCAGGGAAGAAUAAUGACGGUACCUGAGGAAUAAGUCACGGCUAACUACGUGCCAGCAGCCGCGGUAAUACGUAGGUGGCGAGCGUUAUCCGGAUUUACUGGGCGUAAAGAGGGCGUAGGCGGCUUUUCAAGUCGGAUAUAAAAUCUCCUGGCUUAACUGGG